AUGUUUCAGUUGUUGUUGAUGAGAGCGAUAGAAGGAGAGUACCGUGAUGAAGAUGAAGAUGAUAUCACGAAGGUGAAGAAGAACGUUAAUGAUUUUUUUCUUUCUAUUAUGAUACUUUGGAUCUCCCCCCUUUUGGCUCGAUACCAGCCCUUUUUCUUAUAA